rnacentral:lncRNA from 1 species
GACCGAAUUCUUCCUCACACACAAAUCCAAAAUGAGCGGUGAUUGUUGCAUUUACAAAUUCUCCCGGUGUAAUUGCAAUUGCAAUAUCGCGUUAAUUAACGUUCAUUCGUCGAGUUUAAUACUGACUUGCAAAACUUAAUUACUGAUUUUAAAAGACCUUAAAAGUGAGUCUGAAUGGAGAUAGAAUACAGGCUUCGUUACACUUGUAGUACCGGACAAGACAUAUGUAAGAAAUUAAGUGACAAAUUUUAAAUUACUGAUUUUAAAAGACCUCCGAAGUAAGUCUAAAUGGAGAUAAAUUACAGGGUUCGUUACAUAAGCAGUGCCGGGCAAGAGAUAGAUAAGAGAACAACUGACAAAUUUCUUAAUCCAAUUUGUAAUUUUCCAACUCAGUUUCCAUUUACUUUUGAUUUCUUGUACAGUGAUAACACUCAAACGUCGAGUCAUUUAAUCAAUGUGGUUAAUUUAAACUUUUUUUCAGUCUAAGGGCCUUGUGUCUGCUCUCAUCUAACCAGUUUUAGAAUUGGCACUCGUACGGAGAUAUUUAAUUUUACCACCAAAUUGGGUCUCAAUCUCACCAUAAUAGCUUAUCUGCAACAAAACCAAGGUUUGAGCACACAGCUGACAUUAAUACCCGCAAUUCCAUCCAGACGGUAACAAGCUUAAUUGUUUCGGCCAUUCUACAUGACAAACUAAACCUCUCUACCAAACCCCCUAUCGUUUAGGAAAUAGCGUUAAUCACACCACCCACGCGUGGGUCAUCCGGCAAAUUACAUCCGUGAAGACAAAACUAAUGGGGCUAACACAAUGUGCUGUAUGAGGAUAACUGAUUACUAAAAUGGUUUUCCGAAUUGGCAGCCAGAGUUUUAAUCUAAUUAUAUCCCAAAUUGGACGACAAUACUAGGAGACCACAUCAGUGUAAUUACCAAGAGUGGCUCUAAACUACAAUGAGCGGGUGCUAAAAUACUUUAUGACGGAUACAUGACAGCCCAAAUGGUUUUCCAGUUUGAUUGGUCGAGAGCUCAAAGCCAAGUUGUUAACCAGCAAUUGAAGUCUGUGUAAUAGAGAUUAAAAGUGCGUUUUUUGUUCAAAUUUUGCGAUGAAAUAUUAAGGAUCACGAAAUACGUAUCUUGAUUUCUGUGACCACCAGAAGAUCCAUUUAGAACGGAAAUGCUGGGGUUUAUAAUUUUCAUUGCAUCGCUUGCUUGGCGUCUGGUGGCAGCAGAGCUCCUUGUAGUACACGCCAGUUCCGAGAGCAAAGAGUACUGGGUACCAAGGGAACACGUGACCUUAGGUGUUCAGGACACCGACACGAUAAAGUACCUGGUGGAUCAACUGUGCACGAUCUUUCACCGGUCCAGAAAAAUGGCCCUUCACAAGGAAAACUACCCGUGUAGAAGCCGCUCGAAUUCUCUCAUGUUAUUCAAUCCAGCGACCAAAGCAGAAUACAGAUUCAUCAAUUCUACGCUUAAACAGUACAAAAUCAAGAAUGGGACGCGCUUGUACUUGUAUUACUCUUAAAGCAUCUGAGUCACUUGUAGGGAUAUUUCGUGUAAGCUUACUGGGGCACUGGAUAGCCAUUACGAAGGUCGGUCGUCAUGCAACGGUCUUGUGUAAGUGUUGCAUGACGCGUGACGUCUGGAAUCAAGGCCGUGAAGGAGACGGAACACCAUUUGGUUAAUUCACGAAUAAAAGCGUGGUUAAUAGAUGACAAAACAAAAGAAAACUGAACACUGAUCCUUGAAAGGCAAAGCAUCUUUGAAUUCGUUCUGCACAAGAUUGUACAACCUAGGGGUGCGAAAAAAUUUCGUGCUCCAGAAUAUUUCCACCACUCCCUCCCCCACGCCCCUAAAAAAAAAAAAAACAAAACAAAACAAAUUUGGUCCGUCCCUUAUCAUUGCAACUGUUGCAUCCGAGACGUAACAGGAUGGCGCAUGGCCAGCAGACAGUCGCCUAUUGGCCAGGCCAGGUAUUUACUCGGGUUCAAAUCAGAGAACACUGUACUAGUAAACUGUUCUGAAAAAGAAAACAGAGAUUG